rnacentral:rRNA from 1 species
CCUACGGGGGGCAGCAGUGAGGAAUAUUGGUCAAUGGACGAGAGUCUGAACCAGCCAAGUAGCGUGAAGGAUGACUGCCCUAUGGGUUGUAAACUUCUUUUAUAUGGGAAUAAAAUGUUCCACGUGUGGGAUUUUGUAUGUACCAUAUGAAUAAGGAUCGGCUAACUCCGUGCCAGCAGCCGCGGUAAUACGGAGGAUCCGAGCGUUAUCCGGAUUUAUUGGGUUUAAAGGGAGCGUAGGUGGAUUGUUAAGUCAGUUGUGAAAGUUUGCGGCUCAACCGUAAAAUUGCAGUUGAAACUGGCAGUCUUGAGUACAGUAGAGGUGGGCGGAAUUCGUGGUGUAGCGGUGAAAUGCUUAGAUAUCACGAAGAACUCAGAUUGCGAAGGCAGUUCACUGGACUGCAACUGACACUGAGGCUCGAAAGUGUGGGUAUCAAACAGGAUUAGAUACCUAGUAGUC